rnacentral:rRNA from 1 species
AUUGAACGCUGGCGGCAUGCUUUACACAUGCAAGUCGAACGGCAGCGCGGGCUUCGGCCUGGCGGUGAGUGGCGAACGGGUGAGUAAUACAUCGGAACGUGCCCAGUAGUGGGGGAUAGCUCGGCGAAAGCCGGAUUAAUACCGCAUACGACCUGAGGGUGAAAGCGGGGGAUCUUCGGACCUCGCGCUAUUGGAGCGGCCGAUGGCAGAUUAGCUAGUUGGUUGGGUAAAGGCCUACCAAGGCGACGAUCUGUAGCUGGUCUGAGAGGACGACCAGCCACACUGGGACUGAGACACGGCCCAGACUCCUACGGGAGGCAGCAGUGGGGAAUUUUGGACAAUGGGCGAAAGCCUGAUCCAGCAAUGCCGCGUGUGUGAUGAAGGCCUUCGGGUUGUAAAGCACUUUUGGCGGGAACGAAAAGGACUGUGCCAAUACCACGGUUCGAUGACGGUACCCGCAGAAUAAGCACCGGCUAACUACGCG